CACCUGUUCUCAUGCCGAACACAGAAG
rnacentral:rRNA from 4 species